CAAUACCUAAUCGAUCUCUCCGUUCUCUGCCCUCUUUUGCAGCGCUGCAAGGAGAAGCUAAACGUGCUGGCCUACUCGGUGAUGAACGAAUGGCCCGGCAUCCGGCUGCUGGUCACCGAGAGCUGGGACGAGGACUACCAUCACGGCCAGGAGUCGCUCCACUACGAGGGCCGAGCGGUGACCAUUGCCACCUCCGAUCGCGACCAGUCCAAAUACGGCAUGCUCGCUCGCCUGGCCGUCGAGGCUGGAUUCGAUUGGGUCUCCUACGUCAGCAGGCGCCACAUCUACUGCUCCGUCAAGUCAGGU
rnacentral:misc_RNA from 1 species